rnacentral:rRNA from 1 species
CCCUUAGAUGUUCUGGGCCGCACGCGCGCUACACUGAUGCACUCAACGAGUCUCCACCUUGACCGAAAGGUCCGGGAAACCUUCGAACUUGCAUCGUGAUGGGGAUAGAUUAUUGCAACUAUUAAUCUUGAACGAGGAAUUCCUAGUAAACGCAAGUCAUCAGCUUGCAUUGAUUACGUCCCUGCCCUUUGUACACACCGCCCGUCGCACCUACCGAUCGAAGGUAAUGAUGAGCCCUCAGGAUUGUGGCCUCGUCGCGUCAGCGUCUUGGCUGCGAGAAUCUGUGCAAAUCCCUACCUUUAGAGGAAGGUGAAGUCGUAACA